GAGUAAUGUAAGGCAUUGCUAGAACAAUUGUGGUUAUAGCAAUGUACCAACUCUAGAAGCUACUGAGGUACCAUUCUGUCCUGGUACAGUU
rnacentral:snoRNA from 1 species